ensembl:snRNA U6 U6 spliceosomal RNA
GUGCUCGCUUUGCCAGCACAUAUACUAAAAUUGGAACGAUACAGACAUUAGGAUAGCCCCUGUGCAAGGAUGACAUACAAAUUCGUGAAGCGUUCCAUAUUUUU